GCCAGUGGUGCUCAGUGGUUAGAGCAUUGGCCCACACAUCCAAGGGUCACAGGUUCAAUUCCCCGUCAAGGGCA
rnacentral:tRNA from 1 species